GACGAACGCUGGCGGCGUGCCUAAUACAUGCAAGUAGAACGCUGAAGAGAGGAGCUUGCUCUUCUUGGAUGAGUUGCGAACGGGUGAGUAACGCGUAGGUAACCUGCCUUGUAGCGGGGGAUAACUAUUGGAAACGAUAGCUAAUACCGCAUAACAAUGAAUGACACAUGUCAUUUAUUUGAAAGGGGCAAUUGCUCCACUACAAGAUGGACCUGCGUUGUAUUAGCUAGUAGGUGAGGUAACGGCUCACCUAGGCGACGAUACAUAGCCGACCUGAGAGGGUGAUCGGCCACACUGGGACUGAGACACGGCCCAGACUCCUACGGGAGGCAGCAGUAGGGAAUCUUCGGCAAUGGGGGCAACCCUGACCGAGCAACGCCGCGUGAGUGAAGAAGGUUUUCGGAUCGUAAAGCUCUGUUGUAAGUCAAGAACGAGUGUGAGAGUGGAAAGUUCACACU
rnacentral:rRNA from 1 species